rnacentral:rRNA from 1 species
AGCCCUAGGAAGAUAUCUAGGGUUAAACCUGCCCAAUGUAAAUGUAUUAAUGGCCGCGGUACUCUGACCGUGCUAAGGUAGCGUAAUCAAUUGGCUUUUAAUUGGGGUCAGGAAUGAAUGGAAUCUCGUAGUUUUUCUGUCUCUGAAAUAAUUAUUCGAAAUUACUAUAGAGGUGAAAAAGCCUUUAAUAAAAAAAAGGACGAGAAGACCCUUAGAGUUUUACUGAGAGCAAUUAGUAAAAGAUGUUUAGUAAUUGUUCAAGUUUAGUUGGGGCAACGUAGGAGAAAUUAUAUAAACUUAUAAUCUCCUAAAUUUAGAUAGACCGAUUGUUAUAAAUUUGGAUAAACUACCUUAGGGAUAACAGCAUUAUUUUAAAAAUAAGUUUGUGACCUCGAUGUUGGACUGGGAACCUAAAAGGCUAGCCGUUUUUUAGUGAAGUUCUGUUCGAACUAUUAAUUCCC